GACGGAGGGUGCAAGCGUUAUCCGGAUUCACUGGGUUUAAAGGGUGCGUAGGCGGGCAGGUAAGUCCGUGGUGAAAUCUCUGAGCUUAACUCAGAAACUGCCAUGGAUACUAUUUGUCUUGAAUAUUGUGGAGGUAAGCGGAAUAUGUCAUGUAGCGGUGAAAUGCUUAGAUAUGACAUAGAACACCAAUUGCGAAGGCAGCUUACUACACAGUUAUUGACGCUGAGGCACGAAAGCGUGGGGAUCAAACAGG
rnacentral:rRNA from 1 species